CGGUAAAUAGGAAAUGGCAGAAGAAGGAAAAAGAGAAUUGUUCUCCAUGUUCUCCUCUUUCCAAUCUUAUCUUGAUGAAGACCAAGAUAUUCGUGAGGUGAUAAAAAUUUACAAUAUUUUUCAUAUUGAAUAUUUUUCACCCUAGUUUAUAAUAAUUUAUUGUUGCUCCACUGUUGGUUGCCACUUUGUCUCUGGGGAGCAUCUACAAAAAGGGACCAUAAUAUCACUAUACUGAGUGUGAAGAGAUGACAGAUGCUUGUUGGUGACAAAAAGUUUGGUGUGGUGUCGUAUGUAAUAGUAGGGGGUUCUGGGGGUAUUCUCGCCCAGGGAAUUUAUGUAUUUUUCUACCCCUACGAAAGCUAUUCCACCCCCCUCCCCAGCCCUUAUAAAAUAUUGGGGAAAUAAAUUAUUUUUUGUUUUCCCAUGGAUUAAAAUGCGGAAAAUUCUGAAAUACAAUCACCUUCAGGUUUGUCACAAUCUUGUAGUGUUGUAUGUUGCCAGUGUCCCAGCUCAAACAGGGCCCCCAAAGCAACAAGGUCCACCUAUGGGUUAUGACCGACAGACGACAUUCCUUAAAAGAGGCAACAGACUGUCUAAAAAAGAGCGACAAACGACAGCUUCCAACUGGGAAAAAGUGACGAAUUGCUAUUUGCGUGAUGGGUCAAAAGUGAAAGCGACAUUUAUUACAAUAAAACAAGCGACAAAGCUACACCCUUAGUGGGCCUCAGCAACAAUACAAGAUUUCUUGCUACAAGAUUGCUUACCUAAUAGAAUAUAAAUCCUAGCCGUGUCAGUGCCGGAGAAUAUGCAAUUAUAAUUAAUGUGCAAUAUAUUGUAAAACAAGUAUUCAAAUGCAAGUAAAACUUGUAUUUUUCAGGUAGUUGAAUCCUAUAUCCAUCUCAAUUUUAACCCUUUAAGUGGAAAUGCACCCUGAUGCGCCCUACUUUAGUAUUUUACUCUGUCCAACGCCAGAUGCUUUUACUCCUCAAGUGGAGAGUGCUGCCACUCAAUGGGUUAACACCAGAAAAUUGAGAUGGAUAGGUAGUUGAAUCCCUAUAUCCAUCUCAAUAUUGGUAAUACUAUACCUAUGCUGGCACAGAUCUUUGAUAUUGUAAAACACCACUUUUCCUGUUUUACAAUGAUAACAGGGUUCGUACGGGUCCUGGAAAACCUGGAAAGUCAUGGAAUUUCAAUAUUCCAAAAUCCAGGCCUGGAAAUCCUGGAAAAUCAUUUUUAGUCAUGGAAGUCAUGGAAGUCAUGGAAAAUUGAAAUUUUACAUAACAGUAACAAAGUAUUUUACUUAUUUCAAUUUACCAAUCAUAACAAUAAUAUGAAUUGUUGUUAUAUAACGGAUUUUUUCAAAAGCGAAGUGAAUUUUGUUCUUUUAUUAUAUCUGUUAUUGUUAAAAUAUUAACGAAUUUCAGAAAUUCCAGACUUCCAGGUCAUGGAUUUUGAAAAAAAUGGUCAUGGAAAAGUCAUGGAAUUUUAAAUGGGAAAAGGUGUACAAACCCUGUUAUAAAGUCAUAGGGCCCCUGGGAAAGUUUUGCUGCAGGCCCCCUGCAACCUCUUGGAGGCCCUGAGUAUGUUAGAUUUGUUGGGAGCCUUGAUCAAAUCUGAUAAAGACAGAGAUAAACUGGGUGCUGGGUGCAUAAACCAGUUAUAUAUUAAAUGAUCAGAUGAUGAUGAUACAGACUAUUGAGGAAAAAAUGUCAUUCAAACUCAUGUAACCUACUCAUAGAAAUAAUAUCUAUUACUUCUAUGAACCUACUCCACCCUGGUAAAUAAGCAGAAUCCUGUAAGAAACCAAGUGAGAAGUUCUCAUUUUAGAAUUAUCAUAAUCACCAUGACAACAAGUUCUUAGAUGCAUUUUCCAUCAGGACAAAUGUGGGCAAGCAGGUUAUGCAUCUUCAGUAUAAAACAUAAGACACAAUUGUCUAGUAAACAAACUAUGAUUAGGAGUUUGUCUUGGUCUUAAGCAGCGCACAACAGCUAGAUGCUACUUUAAUUGUCUCUGCAGACAUACUGUACGUGUCUUGUGCCCCUAUAGACACAACAGAGCUUGUGCCUGCAUCAUUUAUGGUAUAUAUCCUGUUUUGGGAAAGAGCUACUGUAUUUCGAGUGUGACUAAUAUUUUGCUGUCACCACUACAUGCAUGAUAGUAUAAUCCGUCUGGACAAACUAUAGCAAAGAGGAGAUAGUUUCACUGAUAAUUCGUCUUUGUAUAAGUUCUGCAACAGACGAAUAUUCCGUCACUAAUACGAACUGACUGCGAACUUGCAUUUGUUCUGACAGAUGUCAUCCAAUCAUCUUGAUGUGAGAAAAUACUCCAAUCAUUACGAAUCGUGUAUGUCACAGGAAAUAUUAGAAAUAAUUUAUUUCCAUGCAGAACCAUUGCCAGUAUAAAUUGUGCUAUUCUAGCUUGAUCAUCUGGGUGCCGGUUAAUGAACUGCGAAACAACCAAGAGACAGAUUUACAUGAAGCAAAUUUAGUUUACUUAAUAUUUUAAAUGAUCUGGCGAAUGAGACCAGUCUUUUUGAAUGUAAUUAUGCUUCAGUCAUGUGGAUUUCAGGGAAGGUAACAGAUGGUCGUCACUUUGAGUAAAGUUUACACACGUAAAAACGCACAAGUUGUUACAGCUAGGUCUGCAAACAAGUUGUUACAAAUCUGUUCACAAGCUGUCAACAAGUUGUGUUCGCACUGCUUGUUCCCAGUUGUUGUAACAAGUUUGGACAAACAGUGCGAAGACAACUUGUUGACAGAGUAGUGAGACUUUUGCGUGUGUACUAAUAUAGGCAUACAGUACAGUAGGACGUGCAACUGCGUGCAGGCUGCUACUGGCACUAUUAUAUAUAAUGAAAGGCAUUUAAACACUUUAUAUGUCUGAUAGCUGUGAGUGACCACUAUAUCUGAUGCAUGGUAAAUUAUUGUUAUUUUAAUUAUAGAAAAUACAUGGUGCUGUUCGCAAUUUAGAAAAAACAACAAGAGGGAUUCUGGCAGUUUUACAAGCUGUUCAUCAUAGUUCACAGCAAAAAAGUAAGAAUUUUUCUUACUUUUCAUCAUCCUUAUAGAUUUGACUGGUAGUUUAGUUUGGAGCCGUUUCAUUGCCAGAAUUAAUAAUUCCAAUCAGGAAGAUCUUGUUUUAAUUACGCAACACAAAACAAUAGUUUAGUGAUUGCUAUCCACACCUAUAUACAAAGAACUUAAAACAUUGUUGUGUCAUCCAAACUAAGUAUGGUCUAACCAGUUUACGAGGAGUUAAUUUGCCUUAUAUGAACACAUUUAAAUUUAAUAAAUCAUGGAAUAACUUUAUCCAUGUCGGUAUUUUUUCUCAUGGACCAUCCUUUUCAGGCCAUUUUUAUCUGGAUGGUCCACCUUCUAAUUCCUCUAGCACUCCUCCCAGCUAGGAAAUGAACAGUCUCUAAUGUCUCUCAGCGGCUCUUCAUACCCUAUUAAUUAUCAUACCAUCUCACACCGUUGCUCCCCUUACCUACUUAGGGAAUGGAAGAAAUAAGGUAUUGCGAGUAUGUGUAACAAAUAGAAUUUAAAUAAUAGAACAAUGUAGUGUUAAGUAUCGUUUAAAUUUUUUAUCCCAUAGAUAUAUCUGCAAUUUGCCAACAAGCAGAAGAAAUGUUUGGAGCUCUAAAAUUACAAUUUUCCGAGCUUAUUUUGUUGAUUCCAGCUGGACAAUAUUAUAGGU